rnacentral:piRNA from 1 species
UCGGCAGAGCAGGCACAGCGGCGUGA